UCUUGACUAGUAUAUCGGUUCAGUACACCCGCUUGUCAUGAUUAUCAAUGAUUUCGCCUUUCGCGGGAGAGCAGGGUUCGACUCCCUGGUCGAGAG